rnacentral:rRNA from 1 species
GUGAGGAAUAUUGGUCAAUGGGCGAGAGCCUGAACCAGCCAAGUCGCGUGAAGGAAGACGGCCCUACGGGUUGUAAACUUCUUUUGCAAUGGAAUAAAAAGAGUUACGUGUAAUUCAUUGUAUGUACAUUGCGAAUAAGGAUCGGCUAACUCCGUGCCAGCAGCCGCGGUAAUACGGAGGAUCCGAGCGUUAUCCGGAUUUAUUGGGUUUAAAGGGUGCGUAGGCGGAUUGGAAAGUCAGCGGUGAAAGUUUGCAGCUUAACUGUAAAAUUGCCAUUGAAACUGUCAGUCUUGAGUGCAAAUGAGGUAGGCGGAAUGUGUUGUGUAGCGGUGAAAUGCAUAGAUAUAACACAGAACACCAAUUGCGAAGGCAGCUUACUGGGAUGCAACUGACGCUGAGGCACGAAAGCGUGGGGAUCAAACAGGAUUAGAUACCCUAGUAGUCC